rnacentral:rRNA from 1 species
GACGAACGCUGGCGGCGUGCUUAACACAUGCAAGUCGAACGAAGUGGCGAACGGGUGAGUAACGCGUAAUCAACCUGCCCUUCAGAGGGGGACAACAGUUGGAAACGACUGCUAAUACAGCAUACUGAAGGAGGGGAUUGCGUCUGAUUAGGUAGGUGGAGGGGUAACGGCCAACCAAGGCGAUGAUCAGGAGCCGGUCUGAGAGGAGGAACGGCCACAUUGGGACUGAGACACUGCCCAGACGCUUACGGGAGGCAGCAGUGGGGAAUCUUCCGCAAUGGACGAAAGUCUGACGGAGCAACGCCGCGUGAGUGAUGACGGCCUUCGGGUUGUAAAGCUCUGUUAAUCGGGACGCGGUACCGGAAUAGAAAGCCACGGCUAACUACGUGCCAGCAGACGCGGUAAUUC